rnacentral:rRNA from 1 species
AGAGGGCACACGGCCACACUGGCACUGAAACACGGGCCAGACUCCUACGGGAGGCAGCAGUGGGGAAUCUUGCACAAUGGAGGAAACUCUGAUGCAGCGACGCCGCGUGAGCGAUGAAGCCCUUCGGGGUGUAAAGCUCUUUCGACGGGAACGAUAAUGACGGUACCCGGAGAAGAAGCUGCGGCUAACUACGUGCCAGCAGCCGCGGUAAUACGUAGGCAGCAAGCGUUGUUCGGAAUUACUGGGCGUAAAGAGUGUGUAGGCGGUUCUCUAUGUUCGGUGUGAAAUCUCCCGGCUUAACUGGGAGGGUGCGCCGAAAACUGGAGGGCUUGAGUAUGGGAGAGGAAAGCGGAAUUCCUGGUGUAGCGGUGAAAUGCGUAGAUAUCAGGAGGAACACCUGCGGUGUAGACGGCUUUCUGGACCAUCACUGACGCUGAGACACGAAAGCGUGGGUAGCAAACAGGAUUAGAUACCCUGGUAGUCCACGCCCUAAACGAUGCAUACUUGGUGUGAGCCGUUCAUUCGGUUCGUGCCGGAGCUAACGCGUUAAGUAUGCCGCCUGGGGAGUACGGUCGCAAGGCUGAAACUCAAAGGAAUGACGAAGGCGAAUCGU